ACAAGAGAAAUGUGAUCUUCUGGUACAGGGAACUCAAAAGGGGUGACGAAGCGAGAAAGGGUCAUAUGCAAAAUUGAACUGGUGCAGGCAGAUCAUUGAAACCAACUAUUUGGGGUUUUGACCUGAGGGUUCUUUGUCUCCUCCUGUCCCCCACGCCCCGCCUCCGUGGAGGAAAUGCGGAUGUGAAGAAGCGAUCUCUUCCCACAGCAGUCAGGCAUUGACUGCGGGCCGGUGCUCGCCCCCUACCUCAGUGGCCAUGUUCCGGGGGCGCUGACUGCUCCGAGCCCGCCGCGGGGCCCGUCGAGGAGGGAUGUUGGCUCUGCUGACUCCGGGAGCAGGUUGGGAAGACAAACGGAUUCUAAGACUGGCCAGUGAAGUAGGAGGAGACCUGAAGGAGAGUGGUAUCCUGGAGCCAAGAAGUGGAGUGGGAGGCAAGUUUCCAUAAGAAUUCACAGCUACCCCAAGAGAAACUGCCGAUACUGGGAUUCUUAGCUGCAGUGCAUUCCUGUCAUGAGGACAGCCACCAUGCUGGAAGCCCGGCAGAAUUCACAAAGAACCCCUGUUCUGAGAAUGGUUCCAAAGGCCCUCUGCAGGAGCAAUUAUCGAAGGACUGACUGCAGGGUCUCACCUCCAAACUGGCAACAAAUUCACCAAUUAUUUCCAACCGUAGCCAACUGGGGGGAAGACUGCAAGGCUUCUAAGUGAUGGAAGUUCUUUAGAGAAGUAAAUAGGCACGAGGAUAAAGGGUAAUGGGUGCUUAUAAAGCAUCAUUAAUCAUGAGAGCCAAAA